AUUGAACGCUGGCGGCAGGCCUAACACAUGCAAGUCGAACGUGUGGCGGACGGGUGAGUAAUGUCUGGGACACUGCCUGAUUGAGGGGGAUAACUACUGGAAACGGUAUCUAAUACCGCAUACCAUCGGAUGUGCCCCGAUGGGAUUGGCUAGUAGGUGGGGUAAAGGCUCACCUAGGCGCCGAUCCCGAGCUGGUCUGAGAGGAUGACAAGCCAAACUGGAACUGAGACACGGACAAGACGCCUACGGGAGGCAGCGGUGGAGAAUAUGGCACAAUGGGCGAAAGGCUGAUGCAGCCAUGCAGCGUGUAUGAAGAAGGCAUGCGGGUUGUAAAGUACUUUCAGCGGGGAGGCGUUACCCGCAGAAGAAGCACCGGCUAACUCCGUGCCAGCAGCCGCGGUAAUUC
rnacentral:rRNA from 1 species